rnacentral:rRNA from 1 species
GAUGAACGCUGGCGGCGUGCCUAAUACAUGCAAGUCGAGCGAACAGACGAGGAGCUUGCUCCUCUGACGUUAGCGGCGGACGGGUGAGUAACACGUGGAUAACCUACCUAUAAGACUGGGAUAACUUCGUGAAACCGGAGCUAAUACCGGAUAAUAUAUUGAACCGCAUGGUUCAAUAGUGAAAGACGGUUUUGCUGUCACUUAUAGAUGGAUCCGCGCCGCAUUAGCUAGUUGGUAAGGUAACGGCUUACCAAGGCGACGAUGCGUAGCCGACCUGAGAGGAUGAUCGGCCACACUGGAACUGAGACACGGUCCAGACUCCUACGGGAGGCAGCAGUAGGGAAUCUUCCGCAAUGGGCGAAAGCCUGACGGAGCAACGCCGCGUGAGUGAUGAAGGUCUUCGGAUCGUAAAACUCUGUUAUUAGGGAAGAACAAAUGUGUAAGUAACUAUGCACGUCUUGACGGUACCUAAUCAGAAAGCCACGGCUAACUACGUG